rnacentral:other from 1 species
CAGGGUUCUUUAAUCAUGUUUCCCUAUAAGAACACUCAAUUUUCACGCUUUCUGUCUUCUUUCUUCCAGGGCUCUCCCCUUGCCCUAGGCUCUGGCCGUUGCGCCCGGCGGGGUCAACUCCAUGAUUAGCAUGGAGCUGUAGGAGUCUAAAUUGGGGACGCAGAUGUUUGGGACGUCACCUUGCAGUGUUAACUUGGCUCUCAUGAACCUCUUUGAUCUUCCACAAGGGGUAGGCUACGGGUGAAACCUCUUAGGCUAAUACUUCUAUGAAGAGAUGCUUUGGAUAGGGUAACAGCGGCGGAUAUUGGUGAGUUGUUAAGACAAAAACCAUUCAACGCCGGAGGACUGGCUCUCAUCCAGUGGAUGCAUUGAGUGGAUUGAUUGUCAGGGCUGUCUCUAGGUUUAAUCUCAAGACCUCUCUGUGCUUAGGGCAAACACCAUUUGGCCUUAAAUGGGAUCCUGUGAGAGGGGGUCCCCUCCAUUGACAGCUGGACUGUUCUUUGGGGCCUUAUGUGGUGUUUGCCUCUGAGGUACUCAGGGGCAUUUAGGUUUUUCCUCAUUCUUAAACAAUAAUG